rfam:Nomascus leucogenys chromosome 14, whole genome shotgun sequence.
GUGCUCGCUUCGGCAGCACAUAUACUAAAAUUGGAAUGAUACAGAGAAAAUUAGCAUGGCCCUUUGUGCGAAGAUGACAAUUUUUUUUUUUUUUUUUUGGUAUUUUUA